UAAAGGAAGGUACAACACAAUAUAUCAAUUAAUGUUAUUCUAAUUAGUGGACAUGCCUAGGAAUAUUAAGUUAAUUAUAUAAUACGUGUCCAUUUCAAGUUUUCCUUUUUUUCCUUUUGCUAUAUCUUACAGAAUAUCAUUAUUACUCCAUUUAGCAUCUGUAGCAUAAGGUCAAGUCUCAUUAAGGAUAUACUUCAACAUAUACAAAAGAAUGAAAAGUUAGGGAAGAGCUCUUAUGGCGUUUUAAUUAAUCUGCAAAAUAAAAUCAGAACAUCAAGUUGUUCAAGCUUCAGUUGUAGUAGAACACUAUACAUAGGCUUCUCGAAGAAAUUUUUAGCUUUAAGCAUCCAGGUGGUCUCUCAUUAUUACCCACAAUGUUUUAUUUGAAUCCAGCAUAUAACCUCUUGUUAUUAUCCACCACUACCGGUUCAAUCUUGGUGUCUGGCCUCUCGUUACUACCCAUUGGUGUUGGUUUGAGCCUGUGCACAUCUGGAAGGCUAAUAUGGUUUCAUGGGAUUGAUUCAGCUAUGAAUUAUUAUUAUUUUUCUUUAAAAUUACUUCUUGUGUGUUCCACUAGCUUAUGGGGGCACGUUGGGUUAGUUUUCUUUUUUACUGUCUGGUGGGCUUAUGGGAACCAGUUAGUUAAUGUUUAGUUUGCCUUUUAUCAUUACAUUAUUUAUCCUUCUGUAUCACUUUUACUUAAGCCUUUAUUGCAUUUGUGUAGAUCGAUAGUUCUUUACUUUUCUA